rnacentral:pre_miRNA from 1 species
UUUGUACUCCCUCUGUCCCAAAAUUCUUGUCUUCAAUUUGUCUAAAUACGGAUGUAUCUAGUUACAUUUUAGUGUUAGAUACAUCCGUAUCUAAACAAAUGUAAGACAAGAAUUUUGGCACGGAGGGAAUACUAC